UCAACCCUCAAGCCUGGCUUGGUGUUGGAUCAGAGCCCUCCCCUGGCGGCGGGCUCGGUCCCAAAGACAAUGACGGCGUCUGUUGGACCCUCGGUGCAAUGAGCUUUAACCAGCACGCACUUGAGUUAAAGGUUCCUCCAGCCCGGUCUCCUUUAUUACUUUUACAA
rnacentral:misc_RNA from 2 species